UACGUAGGGGGCGAGCGUUGUCCGGAUUUAUUGGGCGUAAAGAGCGUGUAGGCGGCCAGGUAGGUCUGCUGUGAAAACUCGAGGCUCAACCUCGAGACGUCGGCGGAAACCAUCUGGCUAGCGUCCGGAAGAGGAGAGUGGAAUUCCUGGUGUGAGCGGUGAAAUGUGUAGAGAUCGGGAGGAACACCGGUGGCGAAGGCGGGUCGCUGGGCAUCUCCGUCGACGCUGAGGCGCGGAAAGCGUGGGGAGCAAACGGG
rnacentral:rRNA from 1 species